GGCAACGGCCAUACCACGUUGAAAGCACCGGUUCUCGUCCGAUCACCGGAGUUAAGCAACGUUGGGCGCGGUCAGUACUUGGAUGGGUGACCGCUUGGGAACACCGCGUGCCGUUGGCA
rnacentral:rRNA from 1 species